GUUUUAAACACCCAAACCUACAACGGACAAAGGCAUAUGCACAAGCUUAACGAAAAGGGAUAAUCCAGCAGAAAUGUCUGAUUAACUUAUCUGAUUCUUUCUGUCCAUUUCCAAAAGAGUAUCCAUACAAUCAAAUGAAUAAUUCACUUCAACAACCCACUGUUUUCCUAUAGUGGGAAAAAUUGCCUAAAUCAUUUAUAAUUUUACAAGCCAAUGAAAAGUAGUUGCAGGACUAUAUCUUUAGAAGAUGUAAACAUGUAAAUUGUACUAUAGGGUUCCUACCCCUGUUAUAAGGGCCCGAAUCCUUUAUGGGUCUACAUGUCCAGCAAUAUCAUUGUCACUUGAUCCACUUUCUUCAUCACUGAUAUCCUCCUCGUCACUCUGCUCUUCAGCUGUGGAGUUCAUAAUAUCUUCCCUUUUGGCAUAUCGAUCACAGUACUCUUUCACUUUCUGAUCAUACUUUUCUCGAUCCUUCAUCAUCAAUGAUGCAGCAUCACCAUUGAGUGGAUCUGAAGGAUUAGGAUAAAGCAACAGCUGUGGUAGGAAAACCUCAAAAACAUUCAAAAGAUCAAACAUUGGACUCCAUGACUGGUUGAUGACAUCCAAGCAUACAGAACCAGAACUGCAAUCAACAAAAGAACAAAAGGUGAAGAUCAGCUGUAUCAUAGCAAAACUAAAAGGACAACGAUUAAUUCAUCAAACAAAUCAAUUGUAUUGUCAUUGCUAACCAAAGUUACACAGCAUGCAGCAAAAAUUUUCAACUUGCAAGACUAAAUAUCCGUUUCUGUAUGACUAACUGCCAGAUAUCUUAAUGGUGUUCAAGCUUCCGAGCAGAGGAUUUUGACUGUGUAUAAUAAGAAGAGUUUCAAAACUAUAAACUGCUUACAGCUCAUCAACAUUUGGAUGGAAUAUUUUGUUCACAAACCCAAUAGAAGGAGACUUGUAUGGAUAAGCAUCAGGAAGCUCAACCCGUAUUUUCCAGACCCCACCUUCAUAAAGGCUUUCUUUAGGACCAUGAAAUUCCACAUUAAAUUCAUUCAGCCCAUCAUUUAUUGUCUCCACAUUGUAAUCACUCAUCAUCAAUUUCAUGACAUCCAUUUCUCUCCUCUUGCUAGGAGAAGACAUUUUAUCCUUGCAAAAUUAUAAUUCUUGAGCCGUCUCUCACAAAGAUGUUGCAAUGCGAAAUGGUUAAAAAGAAAACUAAACCACCGGGAACCUACUUAAUGUCCAAAUAAGAAACGGGGGACCAGCAAAUAUUAGCUGCUCAAUUUUCCGAGAAAAACACAACAAUCCUUAUUGGAGCUGUGUUGGAUAUCUGAUCGUGGAAUGACGAGAACCAAGCAGAAAUUUGAGAAAAACGAAAAAGGAGAAAG
rnacentral:misc_RNA from 1 species